rnacentral:rRNA from 1 species
UACGUAGGCAGCGAGCGUUGUUCGGAGUUACUGGGCGUAAAGAGUGCGUAGGCGGUUUUCUAAGUUUGGUGUGAAAUCUCCCGCUUAACUGGGAGGGUGCGCCGAAGACUGGAAGGCUAGAGUAUGGGAGAGGUAAGCGGAAUUCCUGGUGUAGCGGUGAAAUGCGCAGAUAUCAGGAGGAACACCGGUGGCGAAGGCGGGUCUCUGGGCCGAUAUUGACGCUGAGGAGCGAAAGCGUGGGGAGCGAACAGG